UCCCUGGUGUCUCAGUGGUAAAGAAUCUGCCUGCAAUGCAGGAGACCGGGGUUCGAUUCCUGGCUGGGCAU
rnacentral:tRNA from 1 species